GUUCUUUCCUGAAGCUUGCCUCUCAGGUACAGAGGCAGUAUUGAUCUUUCAGCUUCUUUGCACCAUGUGCUGCUCUGAGUGUGCCUUGCCAGAUGCUAAUACCUUCAAGCUCCACCUCCUGUUGCUUCAGAGGGAAGCUGUGCUUCCACUGGGGUUUCCAGCCAAAGGGAAAGGGAGGGCAGCAGGGAGCAGCCCUGUGGCAGAAUGGCCAGCUUAGGGUUUUCCAGCCUUCCAGCUGCCUGAGGCCUCAGGAGAUGCAGGCAGCUGAGAGCCAGACCCAUGGCUCACUGUCAGUUGGAAUCGAAAGGAUCUCUGGUUCUGAUAGGCCUGCUUACAUUUCUAGGUGAACUCUGGUCCAGGUCCCAGGUGAGCAGGUCUUGGGGGUGGUUUUUGUGAUGCCCACUUUGAUUUUCACACCUUCAGUUCUGUACUUGGUAGGAUUUGCUGGCUGUGCUCUAACUUUUCUUCUUCUUACAGGAUAGCACUGGCUUUCACAGGGAUUAGCCUUCUGGUGGUGGGCACAACUGUGGUGGGAUACUUGCCAAAUGGGAGGUUUAAGGAGUUCAUGAGUAAACAUGUUCACUUAAUGUGUUACCGGAUCUGCGUGCGAGCGCUGACAGCCAUCAUCACCUAUCAUGACAGGGAAAACAGACCAAGAAACGGUGGCAUCUGUGUGGCCAAUCAUACCUCGCCGAUCGAUGUGAUCAUCUUGGCCAGCGAUGGCUAUUAUGCCAUGGUGGGUCAAGUGCACGGGGGACUCAUGGGUGUGAUUCAGAGAGCCAUGGUGAAGGCCUGCCCACACGUCUGGUUUGAGCGCUCGGAAGUGAAGGAUCGCCACCUGGUGGCUAAGAGACUGACUGAACAUGUGCAAGAUAAAAGCAAGCUGCCUAUCCUCAUCUUCCCAGAAGGAACCUGCAUCAAUAAUACAUCGGUGAUGAUGUUCAAAAAGGGAAGUUUUGAAAUUGGAGCCACAGUUUACCCUGUUGCUAUCAAG
rnacentral:sRNA from 1 species